UCAGGGUCCUCUCUGACAGCUGUUCCUUCUUGGGUCCUGGCUGGAGAUCUCUGCUGCCCCCAGACUCAGAGGAGCCACUCCAGGACUCAGGGAGUGGCUGGCUUUGGGCCAGCCCAGCCCU
rnacentral:precursor_RNA from 8 species